ACCAUUCACUCUCCUUAUUCUUCUUCUUCUUCUCAUCUCUCUCUCUCUCUCUCUCAUGUUGCAGCCAUCUCCAGUCCAUGGCAACAACAGCAGUACUUUUCCACUUGCUCGCUCUAUCAGAUUAGCAAUCCGCUGCUCAUUGUUAGGGCUUCAAGAGUAUCGGCCAUGACCUUCUAUUACGGAUGGUCUCUAUAUGUGUUUGGCUUCAUCUCACUUAAAUGGCGAGACUGAAAUCUCAUAUCUGUAAGAAAGGCUCUUACAUGCCCCUUUUUGUCAGGCAGAUCUAAAUUUUGGGGUUAACCUUUGAAGGUUAGAAACUUCGAAUGUAACUUUCAUAUUUUUCAAAAAAGAUGAGUUCUUUUUAUGAUCACUGGAUUAGGCAAAGUUGGGAUAAUUUAGAUUAGUAACUAGGAUUUCAAAAUAGGUUCAACAUUGUUCUUUACCUUCCCUAAAAGUGUGCUGGGUUCUUCCAAAAACAUGAGAAAGGCUGGUGGGUUUUAAUUAAACAAUUUCAAGUCAUGUUUUUAUAAAUUGUGUUGGGUUUGGGGUUCUGACCUUAUAAGUCAUGUGAAUUUGUGUGGGUCUUUGGUAUUUUCUUUUUGUUAUCCAAUAGAUUUUUGCUGAAAUGGUUAGCAAUUUAUAUUUUUUUCUUUUAAGACUUUUAACUUUUGUUGUUUCUAUUAUCUAUAGAUGUAAGACAGAUAGUUGGAAAACAAAAGAGAAGCCUAAUUGGUUUCUGUUGAUGCAAGAGAUGUUGCCUUGUUGGGUCUGAAUUUUUGUUUGCAGAAAGGACUUGUCGUAAGGACAUCACAAAUCAGGGGUCAUUGGAUCUUACACAUCAUUAGAGAAGGUUUGCGGACGAGUUUAUCAGUACUUAGUUGAAGUGAUCAAGUUGGAAGAGUUGCAAGUUUGACUAGGAGUUUAACAAAGAAGUUGCUACUGAAGUAAUCUAGCUAUUUGCAAGUUUUAAUUUUCAAAAGUUGAAGUUGUCACCAGAGCUUAAGCAGAAGUUGAAGUCGUCACCGGAGCUUAACCAGAACUUGAAGUCAUUUAGUAGAAAUGCUCAAGUCAUGAUAACGAGGCCAUCAUAUAAAGAAAUCCUAUAUUCCUUCUUGUGAAAUAUUCCUUUACUUGUUCCAGUGUGUAAGUCUUUGGAUUGGUGGUUUAAUGAACUUCGUUGGAGUUAUUUUGCUAUGUAUUGCUGUUUGGUAUGCA